CAGAGUUCCUGCUUGAUGAACCUUGAGAAGGGAGACAAGCAUAACACAGCUGAAACCUGCCACCUAGCGGGCCUUCUAAUGAUGACAUGGUUUUGUCAGUGCAUUGAUUCUAAGCUAUCCCUGGAAAGAAAUCAACACCCUGGAUAUGGGCCCUGCAGGGUGCUGGUACUGUGCUAGGUGCCAGGGAAAGGACAGUGAAGAAACAGACAACAUGUAUGGAAAGAGCGAACCCUCUGCAGGGAAAUACGCCCAUCUGAUUCAUCAUCGGUUCCUAGCACACAGAACAGUGUCUGACACGACCAGAGCAUAGGACAUAUAUUUUGGUUUCCCCAGAGGUCUCAUGCUCAUGUCAGAAUUAGUGUCCGGUAUUGUGUCUCAUCAACGUGACGAAGACAGAAGUUAUCAC
rnacentral:lncRNA from 1 species